AAAGCAGAGAUCCUCUUAAAAUAGGGUUUCCAAAUGUAUGGGCUAUGAGAUUAGUACGUCAACUAUUAGUUUGGGAUCCAGAGGAUCGGUUGACUGUUGAUGAUGCUCUGAGGCAUCCUUAUUUUACACAUCAUACAACCCAAUGAUAUACACAAUGCUCCACAGGUCCAUGGUUUUUAGAGGCAAAUUUUUCAGUGCAUAUGUACAAGUAACUAACCACAUUGUAAAUACUUGUAGCGCCAAUUAAUACUUACAAAUAACAACCGACGACAGCUUUAAUUACUUUUUCACUGGUUCUACAUGUAUAUAAUUCAAUAUAUAUACAGUAUAUCUAUAUAUCAAGCCUUCUUUAUGUCUAUGGAUCAUGAAAUGCUACUAGUGAAAUGUGUAGUGAAUUCGGGAAAAGAAAGUAUAAAUUGUUUUAAAUUUCACAUUAAUGAAGUGAUUUUUUUGGCC